GGUGAACGCUGGCGGCGUGCUUAAGACAUGCAAGUCGAACGGGCUCUUCGGAGCCAGUGGCGCACGGGUGAGUAACGCGUCACUGACCUACCCCAAAGUCGCGGAUAACGAUUCGAAAGAAUCGCUAAUACGUGAUGUGCUGUCAGAUCCUGUUCUGCCAGUAAAGAUUUAUUGCUUUGGGAUGGGGUUGCGUUCCAUCAGCUAGUUGGUGGGGUAAAGGCCCACUAAGGCGACGACGGAUCGCCGGCCUGAGAGGGUGGCCGGCCACAGGGGCACUGAGACACGGGUCCCACUCCUACGGGAGGCAGCAGUUAGGAAUCUUCCACAAUGGGCGAAAGCCUGAUGGAGCGACGCCGCGUGAGGGAUGAAGGUCUUCGGAUCGUAAACCUCUGAAUCAGGGACGAAAGACGCGAAAGCGGGAUGACGGUACCUGAGUAAUAGCACCGGCUAACUCCGUG
rnacentral:rRNA from 1 species